CCCGCUUUCAGUAACCCCUUCAUCAUUAUAGUGUACAAGAUAACAUCGACCUUGAUAUUAUCCUCAAUCAUUUGCCUGUACCACAAUUGCGCAUCUUCAAAUUUCCUUGCUCUAAACAACCCAUCAAUCAAACAACUAUAUCCCUCUUUGUUAAGCACAUAACCGUCCUUUUUAAAAAACUUUAAAAGAGCCAUUGCCUCAUCAACUCUACCUAACUUACAGAACCCAUCAAGCAAAGCAUUAUAAGUAACAAAAUCAGGUCUGCAUCCACUAUC
rnacentral:misc_RNA from 1 species